GUGACCAUGUAAUUUGAGCGGGAUUAUUUUUACUUUUAGGGCGCCAUAUAUUAUCUAUAAUUAACUCACAUAACUGGCCUCUUCCGUAAUUAGGGUUUUCCAUCAAAUGAAUCGAAGAACUGGAACUUUGCAGAAGUUGCUACUGCAGGAUUGAGGUGUUCAAGCAAGAGGGUUCAUAUUUGGUCCUCCUAUUGCAUUGGCUCUUGGCGAGAAAUUUGUUCCCAUCAGAAAACCCAACAGAUUGAAAAGUUGAACUUAGUUAUCAAGGAGCUCGUUAAGGAAAAAGAUGAAGAAAAAGAUGAAGAAAAAGAAACGUUCAAUGGAAUUAUUGCGGCGUUGUUGGCUGACAAAGAAAAAGAUAAGGGGGAUAAAGAUGCGUUGCUUGAUAGGAUGUCACAAAUUGAAGCUAUGUUAACAACUGCAGUUCGAAGAUAGGCUAUAAACACUUGGUUUUGAAUGUUUAUAUGUUUAAUCUUAUUAGGAUAAUUUUAGUUAGUUUAUAUUUUAGUUGGUAUUUUUUAUAUGCUUUUGAAAACAAGAUAUUUUAUAUAAUUUUGGGAUUUUAUUAGACUUUUUUUUAUAUUAUUUGUAGUUU
rnacentral:lncRNA from 1 species